UACGUAGGCAGCAAGCGUUGUUCGGAAUUACUGGGCGUAAAGAGUGUGUAGGCGGUGUUCUAAGUUUGUCGUGAAAUCUCCCGGCUUAACUGGGAGGGUGCGGCGGAAACUGGAGUGCUUGAGGGUGGGAGAGGUAAGCGGAAUUCCUGGUGUAGCGGUGAAAUGCGUAGAUAUCAGGAGGAACACCUGUGGUGUAGACAGCUUACUGGACCACUUCUGACGCUGAGACACGAAAGCGUGGGUAGCAAACAGG
rnacentral:rRNA from 1 species